AAUAGCAUAUCUCCAUGCAGCUCUCACUUGAUUUCCCUCUACAGUUAAGCAGGGUUGAGCCUGGCCAGUACCUGGAUGGGAGACCUCCUGGGGAAAACUAAAGUUGAUGCUGGAG
rnacentral:rRNA from 1 species